rnacentral:rRNA from 1 species
UACGGGGGGAGCAAGCGUUGUUCGGAUUUACUGGGCGUAAAGGGCGCGUAGGCGGCCACCGCAAGUCGACUGUGAAAUCUCCGGGCUUAACCCGGAAAGGUCAGCCGAUACUGGUGGACUAGAGUCCGGAAGAGGCGAGUGGAAUUCCCGGUGUAGCGGUGAAAUGCGCAGAUAUCGGGAGGAACACCAAUGGCGAAGGCAGCUCGCUGGGACGGUACUGACGCUGAGACGCGAAAAGCGUGGGGAGCAAACAGG